rnacentral:misc_RNA from 1 species
GGGAAAGUUAGGGAACAAUUUUAGAAUGGUGCAGCUGGGUCGUAUUUGUUGGCAUUUUGAUGGUCUCCCUCGUUCACCUAGCAUGUUUGGCUCGACGCGCGACUGAUGUUUGCAGGUAACCCCCCAGGGAGAAUUCAGAGAGUGACAUUCGGUAACACGCGCAAAGUGUAGCGAACUCUACUUUCCUCUUUGGUUCUGGAAACAUUUUCCAACAGGUCGUACAGAACACAAGGAGUAUGAGUUUCGUUUGCCCGAGCCUAACAGGCUUAAAAAAGAUUCACUUGUUACCUGCAUCUCGAGGGCCUCCGUACAGCUCUGUUCAGCUAUUCAUUCGCUUGGAGUAAACCUAGGAAGUUUGAUUCUACGCAUAGAAGACACAGAUCAAACAGGACUCGUACCAGAUGCUACCGAUGGACUCCACGGGAAUCUAUUUUGGGCUGGAAUCCUCCCGGACAAAGACCUGAUAAGCUACGAUUGAGUUUUAUCAUAUUUUCUCACCUCUCUCUCAUUUUUAUUUUUCAGGAGAGCAUUGGACAGUCUCUGAAGCAACGGUGGCACCGCACCCGCAUAGGAAAUACAAGACUAUCCUCGAUGCAUUUACACCACUGGACUGUACAAUAUCCUGUACUUUGGUGAUUUACACAUCGAAUCAUCAUGUGGAUAAUUAUGCAGCAAGGAAUUACGAUGUAUACGUCUCGAAUCUUAGAGAACAAGAAAUUAAUAAUUUAAUGUUAAUUGAAAUGAAACUAUCGUCCAUAGUCUUGUAACGCAUUAGUCAUAAGUAUACAAAAAUGAAUUUAUAUUGUCCAUUGCAAAGUCUCAAUAUGUAUUCUUGACGAUUAAUUUAUUAAUAAAAACUCAUUGUAACCAA